GAAAUGGGUGUGGUGAGGUUAACAGUCAGUCUGGCAGUGCAGAAGGAUUUGGUGUACAAAUCUUUUGUCCUCAGGAACCAACAACUGUUGACUGAAAAGAACAAGAUUGAUCAGAAAAUAAAGGCCCAGGGUGUGCUUAAUGACAUCAAGCAUGAUAACACUUAUGCAUCGGACAUAGAGAUCUAUUGGGAUGAAGCAAAGAUUAUCAAAAGAACAGAUAGCUUAAGGCAAGAGUUACCAAGGGAAUCUUUAGAGAUAGAAAGAAAGAAAAAGCACGGGAACAUAAUAAAUAGUAAUGUAGA
rnacentral:lncRNA from 1 species